GCGGGAGUGGCGAAACUGGCAGACGCGCGGGAUUUAGGUUCCCGUGCCCGAGAGGGCUUGGGGGUUCGAGUCCCCUCUUCCGCA
rnacentral:tRNA from 1 species